AUGCACGCUGGCGGCGUGCUUCACACAUGUAAGUCGAACGGGAAUUAUUUUAUUGACACUUCGGUCGAUUUAAUUUAAUUCUAGUGGCGGACGGGUGAGUAACGCGCGGGUAACCUGCCUUAUACAGGGGGAUAACAGUCAGAAAUGGCUGCUAAUACCGCAUAAGCGCACAGAGCUGCAUGGCUCAGUGUGAAAAACUCCGGUGGUAUAAGAUGGACCCGCGUUGGAUUAGCUUGUUGGCAGGGUAACGGCCUACCAAGGCGACGAUCCAUAGCCGGCCUGAGAGGGUGAACGGCCACAUUGGGACUGAGACACGGCCCAGACUCCUACGGGAGGCAGCAGUGGGGAAUAUUGCACAAUGGGGGAAACCCUGAUGCAGCGACGCCGCGUGAAGGAAGAAGUAUCUCGGUAUGUAAACUUCUAUCAGCAGGGAAGAUAGUGACGGUACCUGACGAAGAAGCCCCGGCUAACUACGUG
rnacentral:rRNA from 1 species